UGCGUGUGUGCUCCAGCUGUUCUUGAACCGUCAGUCCCUUAUCAGGCUUAUCAAGUUGCUUCAGUGCUUUUUUCACUGGUCUCAUCCUUUCCUUGCAUAUGCUGAAUGUUUCUUGGUCCAAAUCAUCAUCCUCAUCUUCUCCAAUAGGGACUGGUUCACUCCCCGCUGUAAUGUGGACGGGACCUUGUGAUCUCUUCCCUUUACUUCCAGAUUUGGCUUCACCACCUUUAGGCUUCUCUUUCUUUUCUUUUGUCUUCUUUUUCUCUUUAUCACUUUCCUUUUCUUUCUUAGAGCUUGUCUGUUUCUCCUUGUUCUCUUUGUUCUCUUUCUUCUUCUGUUUCUUUUUCACUGGGCUCUUGUCCAAGCCAUCAUCCUUGACUUCACCUUCUUCUGACUGGUUGUCUGAGUGCCGAGGAGGGGAGAGUUCAUUCCCAUGCUCAUCUUUGACUUUGGGAGCCUUGUUCUCUUUCUUUACUCGUGGUUUCCUCUUCUUUAGCUUGCCCUCUUCCCCAUCUUUCAUGUUUUCUUUCUUCUCCAGAUCCUUCUUCAGCAAUUUCAGUAGAUAAUCAACUCGGGUCUGGAGCUGUUUUCCCUGAGGUUUCUUAUCUGUCUCAACAGGUAGGAUCUUAUCAGAUAACUUCAAUUCCGGAUCUGUUUUAAUUAGCUCCCAGUUUCCAUAACCGUGCUCGUAAAUCCCCAC
rnacentral:lncRNA from 1 species